UAGUAGAGACGGGGUUUCACCAUGUUGGCCAGGCUGGCCUCAAUCUACUGGCCUCAAGUGAUCCGCCCGCCUUGGCCUCCCAAAGUGCUGGAAUUACAGGCGUGAGCCACCGCACCCAGCCUUAUUUUCUUCUUCUUCUAUUUUUUUUUCUUUUUGGUGAAGACAGCCGUCUCGCUAUGGUCCCCAAGCUGGUCUCCCAACUCCUGGCCACAAGGGAUCCUCCUGGCCAAA
rnacentral:antisense_RNA from 1 species